rnacentral:misc_RNA from 1 species
GAUGAAGAACGUAGCAAAAUGCGAUAAGUAAUGUGAAUUGCAGAAUUCAGUGAAUCAUCGAAUCUUUGAACGCACAUUGCGCCCGCCAGUAUUCUGGCGGGCAUGCCUGUCUGAGCGUCAUUUCAACCCUCAUGCCCCUAGGGCGUGGUGUUGGGGAUCGGCCAAAGCCCGCGAGGGACGGCCGGCCCCUAAAUCUAGUGGCGGACCCGUCGUGGCCUCCUCUGCGAAGUAGUGAUAUUCCGCAUCGGAGAGCGACGAGCCCCUGCCGUUAAACCCCCAACUUUCCAAGGUUGACCUCAGAUCAGGUAGGAAUACCCGCUGAACUUAAGCAUAUCAAUAAGCGGAGGA